CAACAGCGGACCCGCCCCGGUGAGAGCAGAGAGGCGCGCUGACCCGGGAGCGGGCCACGGGGCUCAGUGUUGAUUCCUUGCCCCACUCCCUUCCACGCCCCUUCCCCGCCCCUUCCCCGCCCCGCUUCUUCUCUGCUCCCCUCCCUCCUUUCCCCUCUCUCCGUCCUCCUCCCUCCUUUUCCCCUUCCCAUCACCUCUCUCCCUCCCUGCCCCCUCCCUUCCGCCCCCUCCCAUGCCUUCCCCCCCGCUCCCCUCCCGCCCCCACUGCCUGUUCUCCUCCCUCCUGUCCCCCCUCCCUGUUCCCCUCCCUCCCCUUCCCUGUUCCCCUCCUUCCCGCUCCCUGUUCCCCUUCUACAGGAGAAUGGAGAACAGGCGUGGGAAAUGUUCCCAAAACGGGGGACUGCGCAGAAUUAAUUCUUAGAAAUAGAAUGGCUGAGUUAGAGGUUAGGCAUUUAAAGUUGAGUUCCAUAAUGCCAAAUUGCAAAAAAAAAAAAAAAAAUUGUAGACCAAAAAGUUGUCACCCAAACCAACGACAUAGCCCAUAAAUCCGCUGGGGAGGAAAGGUUAGCUAGAUGGGCUGCGCAUCGGUCCUGUGGAACACUGCACAGAGAUGAGGAAAUCAAGGCGGAGAAAAGUUGGAGAAUGUGUCCAAAGUCACACCGCCGGCAGCCAAAAGAGCCCGGGGGCUCACUCACAGAAGACACAGCCAACAGCGAUUGCUCUGGGAGAGAGGACCGGGGAAAAGUUAGUGCUGUUCACCGUACACGUUGCGCGCUAGUUGGAAUGGCUUUCACCACGUGCAAGCACUGCUUUUGCAAAUGCAUGAUUCUAAACAAUGCUCACCAACCCAGCCUUCAGUACAGUCCUAAAGUAACAGCCCAGAAACACACACUUCAGCCAGGACCCUCCAUGCUGCCUCCCAGAGCAGCCCAGCAGCUGGACAGCCUGAUGCCCUGGGCUGGAUCAGCAAGUCCUGGAUGCCUUUUACCUGCACCCAGCUCAUCCUCCAGGCCGCAGGACACACAGACUCCCGACCCUGGACUGGGGGCCAGAAGCCACCGAGCUGGAAGGGACAAGAGGUCUCCUGGCCCACCAUGUUUGUUUUCCCAAUAAAGAGGUUCCACAGUGCCCCGUAGUCAGCCAUAGCAUUCACUCACAUCCUGGAGUGCCUGCUGCACACCGGCCUGCCCAGAGAGCACACGCUGCGAGGUAAGUGCUGCAGUUGACACAGUGAGAACAAGACCCGCCUGCAGGAGCUCCCAGCGCUUAGGGGUGGGGGACAAGAAGAGCAAAGAUUGCACCACCCGUGGCAAAAUUGCAAGAGAAAAAUGAGUGAACAGGUGGCUACGUGCUGAGGUGAUCAGGGCAGACCGUGAGGGCCGAGAUUGCUAGAGAUGGCGAAGCCUGUACUCCUGGAAAGUACUCAGGGAACCCCAGCCCAGCCCACCCUGGCCUGGAAAGCCAAGCUAACGGGGUCUUCACCCCAAACUCAAAGAAAUACCCAGGAAGAGUUUAGGAGAGGGUGGGAUGGCAAGAUGGGAUUUGCAUUUGGAAACCGUUACUAGGCCCACCGAGGAAGGACAUGUUUCUUUUUUGUUUUGUGCGGUCUUAUUAAAUUUUUUAUUCUUUUUAUAACUUUUAGGUUCAGUGGUGUGUGGACAGGUUUGUUAUACAGGUAAAUUAUGUUUCACAGGGUUUGAUGAACGGAUUAUUUCAUCACCCAGGUAAUAAGCAGAGUACCCGAUAAGUAGUUUUUU
rnacentral:lncRNA from 1 species